GAUGAAGAACGUAGCGAAAUGCGAUAAGUAGUGUGAAUUGCAGAAUUCAGUGAAUCAUCGAAACUUUGAACGCACAUUGCGGCCAUAGGUAUUCCUUUGGCCAUGCCUGUUCGAGCGUCAUUUACACCCUCAAGCCUAGCUUGGUGUUGGGCGCCUGUCCCGCCGUUUUCGCGCGCGGACUCGCCUCAAAGUCAUUGGCGGCGGUCGUGCCGGCCCCCUCGCGCAGCACAUUUGCGCUUCUCGGAGGCCCGGCGGAUCCGCGCUCCAGCAAGACCUUUCACGACUUGACCUCGGAUCAGGUAGGGAUACCCGCUGAACUUAAGCAUAUCAAUAAGCGGAGGA
rnacentral:misc_RNA from 1 species